rnacentral:rRNA from 1 species
GUUUAUUAAGUUGGGGGUGAAAUCUCCGGGCUCAACCCGGAGCUCGUUCUCAAAACUGGUAGACUUGAGUAAGGUAGAGGCUGACGGAAUUCUGCAAGUAGGGGUAAAAUCCGUUGAUCUGCAGAGGAACACCAAAAGCGAAGCAGUCACUGGGCCUUUACUGACGCUGAGGGACGAAAGCGUGGGUAGCGAACGGGAUUAGAUACCCCGGUAGUCCACGCCGUAAAUGAUGGAUACUGGACAUUGGUACUCGAUCGUAUCAGUGUCUCAAGCUAACGCAUUAAGUAUCCCGCCUGGGGAGUACGGUCGCAAGAUUAAAACUCAAAGGAAUAGACGGGGACCCACACAAGCGGUGGAGCAUGUGGUUUAAUUCGACAAUAAGCGAGGAACCUUACCAGGGCUUGACAUCCCGAGAAUUCUUUAGAAAUAGAGAAGUGCCUUUAUGGAACUCGGUGACAGGUGCUGCAUGGUUGUCGUCAGCUCGUGCCUUGAGGUGUUCGGUUAAGUCCGUAAACGAGCGCAACCCUAGUCCUAUGUUGUAUAUUUCAUAGGAGACUGCCUUGUCCAACGAGGAGGAAGGUUAGGAUGACGUCAAAUCAGCAUGGCCCUUAUGUCCUGGGCGACACACGUGCUACAAUGGUCGGUACAAUGGGUAGCCAACCCGCGAGGGGGAGCCAAUCCCAUCAAAGCCGGUCCAAGUUCGGAUUGGAGGCUGCAACUCGCCUCCAUGAAGUUGGAAUCG